rnacentral:ncRNA from 1 species
GAGACUUAAAGCGGCGCCGCUGACGUCGGCGCUUGGGUUGCUUCUUGGAGGGGUCAUCCUCCGAUGCCCCGUCGCCAUUGCCUUUUUGGGUGUGUCCAGACAAAGGGUCGCGAUCUCGCGAGGGUGAGCUAACUCCAAAAACCCGUCCUCAGUUCGGAUUGUAGGCUACAACUCGCCUGCAUGAAGCAGGAAUCGUUAGUAAUCGCCGGUCAGCCAUACGGCAGUGAAUCCGUUCCCGGGCCUUGUACACACCGCCUGUCACACUAUAGGAGUUGGCCAUGUUUGAAGUCAUUACCCUUAACCGUAAGGAGGGGGAUGCCUAAGGCUAGGCUUGCGGCUGGAGUGAAGUCGUAACAAGGUAGCCGUACUGGAAGGUGCGGCUG